AACCUCCGCAAUGUGAGAAAUCGCGACGGGGGGAUCCCAAGUGCCAUUCUUAACGGGAUGGCUUUUCAUUAGUGUAAAGAGCUUUUGGAAUAAGGGCUGGGCAAGACCGGUGCCAGCCGCCGCGGUAACACCGGCAGCUCUAGUGGUAGCAAUUUUUAUUGGGCCUAAAGCGUCCGUAGCCGGUUUAAUAAGUCUCUGGUGAAAUCCUGUAGCUUAACUGUGGGAAUUGCUGGAGAUACUAUUAGACUUGAGACCGGGAGAGGUUAGAGGUACUCCCAGGGUAGAGGUGAAAUUCUGUAAUCCUGGGAGGACCGCCUGUUGCGAAGGCGUCUAACUGGAACGGUUCUGACGGUGAGGGACGAAAGUUAGGGGCGCGAACCGGAUUAGAUACCCGGGUAGUCCUAACUGUAAACGAUGCGGACUUGGUGUUGGGGUGGCUUUGAGCUGCUCCAGUGCCGAAGGGAAGCUGUUAAGUCCGCCGCCUGGGAAGUACGGUCGCAAGACUGAAACUUAAAGGAAUU
rnacentral:rRNA from 1 species